rnacentral:rRNA from 1 species
GCAGUAGCCACGGGAAAACGGAGGGUGCAAGCGUUAAUCGGAUUUACUGGGCGUAAAGCGUGCGUAGGCGGCUUUUUAAGUCGGAUGUGAAAUCCCUGAGCUUAACUUAGGAAUUGCAUUCGAUACUGGGAAGCUAGAGUAUGGGAGAGGAUGGUAGAAUUCCAGGUGUAGCGGUGAAAUGCGUAGAGAUCUGGAGGAAUACCGAUGGCGAAGGCAGCCAUCUGGCCUAAUACUGACGCUGAGGUACGAAAGCAUGGGGAGCAAACAGGAUUAGAUACCCCAGUAGUCCCUGUCUCUUAUAC